rnacentral:lncRNA from 1 species
GCCCUUCUUACAUUAACUGAUAUCUCAAAGUGCUGUACAGAAACCCAGCCUAAAACCCCAAACAGCAAGCAAUGCAGGUGUAGAAGCACGGUGGCUAGGAAAAACUCCCUAGAAAGGCCAAAACCUAGGAAGAAACCUAGAGAGGAACCAGGCUAUGAGGGGUGGCCAGUCCUCUUCUGGCUGUGCCGGGUGGAGAUUAUAACAGCACAUGGCCUAGAUGUUCAAAUGUUCAUAAAUGACCAGCAUGGUCAAAUAAUCAUAGUAGUUGUCGAGGGUGCAACAAGUCAGUAACACAAGAGUAAGUGUCAGUUGGCUUUUUCAUAGCCGAUCUUUGAGAGUAUCUCUACCGCUCCUGCUGUCUCUAGAGAGUUGAAAACAGCAGGUCUGGGACAGGUAGCACGUCCGGUGAAUAGGUCAGGGUUCCAGCAGGUCUGGGACAACAGGUCUGGGACAGGUAGCACGUCCGGUGAAUAGGUCAGGGUUCCAGCAGGUCUGGGACAUCAGGUCUGGGACAGGUAGCACGUCCGGUGAACAGGUCAGGGUUCCAUAGCUGCAGGCAGAACAGUUGGAACUGGAGCAGCAGCACGGCCAGGUGAACUGGGGACAGCAAGGAGUCAUCAAGCCAGGUAGUCCUGAAGCAUGGUCCUAGGGCUCAGGUCCUCCGAGAGAGAGAAAGAAAGAAAGAGAAAGAGAGAAUUAGAGUUAGAAUAUUAGAAUAUUACAUUUAAAUUUGUUAAAAAGUACAUGUUGCUUAUUUAAAAACAAUAGAAACAACCAUGAAUAAAAGUACUUUUUCUUGUAAAACAUCCAAUCUGUAAAAGCCAUUUAAAAUGUGUACAAAAUAAUUUUUUAAAGACAUGAAAACAUGUUAAAAGGUCACUUUGUUAAAAAGCUGUCUUCGGUCCUUUGUACAGGAACGGGUGAGUCCUUAUCAACUCGCCUCCUCCUGCUCUUCCGAAUCAAUAACCGUCCUGUCCUUCGGGGCCCAGAGGAGAUCCCUCCCCUAGGCGCAUCGCCCUAGGCGCCGCAGCACUGUCAGGCAGUGGCUGCCGGGACCUUGGGUGUUGUGGGGGACCCUACGCCUGGGGGUCGAGGCCUCCUUUCUUCUGUACCAUCCCAGGGCUUCCGUGGCUACCAUGGCCACUACCUGGGGGAUGGUCUCUACUCAUUUUGCUACCAGCAGGUUGCGGGAGGACCACAGUGCAUCCUUCAGACACGUGAGGGUGGGUCAGAGCUUGGGGAAGGCCUUCGCUGGAAUAGGCCUUCGGCCCACCCCAUACAGCACGUGCUGGGGCGUUAGGUCGUCCCCUGCUGGCAGACACGAGGAGAUCAGGGGGCCUGCUUCCUUCCACAGGUCCCUGGCGGCUCUGCACUCCCAGAGCAAGUGCCUCACCGACUCAUCUUGGCCGCAGUCUGGUCGGGGGCACUCGGGUGUCCUCGCCAUGCCCUGGGAGUGCAUAACGGCCCUGACUGGAAGGAUCUCGCGGGCGACCAUCCAGGACAGGUCCCGUUGCCGGUUCAGCAGAACAGGAUGGGCCACGUUGCACCAAACCGUUGUGGGUUCGCCUGUAACAUGCCCGCACACUGGACACACUGGUUCCUGCUC